rnacentral:rRNA from 1 species
UACGAAGGGGGCUAGCGUUGCUCGGAAUCACUGGGCGUAAAGGGCGCGUAGGCGGCGCGGAUAGUCGGCGGUGAAAGCCCGGAGCUCAACUCCGGGUCGGCCGUCGAUACUUCCGGGCUUGAGCACUGUAGAGGCAGAUGGAAUUCCGGGUGUAGCGGUGGAAUGCGUAGAGAUCCGGAAGAACACCGGUGGCGAAGGCGGUCUGCUGGGCAGUUGCUGACGCUGAUGCGCGACAGCGUGGGGAGCAAGGCAGG